UCAGAUUGAACGCUGGCGGCAGGCCUAACACAUGCAAGUCGAGCGGAUGAAGGGAGCUUGCUCCUGGAUUCAUCGGCGGACGGGUGAGUAAUGCCUAGGAAUCUGCCUGGUAGUGGGGGGAUAACGUCCGGAAACGGGCGCUAAUACCGCAUACGUCCUGAGGGAGAAAGUGGGGGAUCUUCGGACCUCACGCUAUCAGAUGAGCCUAGGUCGGAUUAGCUAGUUGGUGGGGUAAAGGCCUACCAAGGCGACGAUCCGUAACUGGUCUGAGAGGAUGAUCAGUCACACUGGAACUGAGACACGGUCCAGAGUCCUACGGGAGGCAGCAGUGGGGAAUAUUGGACAAUGGGCGAAAGCCUGAUCCAGCCAUGCCGCGUGUGUGAAGAAGGUCUUCGGAUUGUAAAGCACUUUAAGUUGGGAGGAAGGGCAGUAAGUUAAUACCUUGCUGUUUUGACGUUACCAACAGAAUAAGCACCGGCUAACUUCGUGUCAGCAGCCGCGGUAAUACGAAGGGUGCAAGCGUUAAUCGGAAUUACUGGGCGUAAAGCGCGCGUAGGUGGUUCAGCAAGUUGGAUGUGAAAUCCCCGGGCUCAACCUGGGAACUGCAUCUAAAACUACUGAGCUAGAGUACGGUAGAGGGUGGUGGAAUUUCCUGUGUAGCGGUGAAAUGCGAGAUAUAGGAAGGAACACCAGUGGCGAAGGCGACCACCUGGACUGAUACUGACACUGAGGUGCGAAAGCGUGGGGAGCAAACAGGAUUAGAUAGCCUGGUAGUCCACGCCGUAAACGAUGUCGACUAGCCGUUGGGAUCCUUGAGAUCUUAGUGGCGCAGCUAACGCGAGAAGUCGACCGCCUGGGGAGUACGGCCGCAAGGUUAAAACUCAAAUGAAUUGACGGGGGCCCGCACAAGCGGUGGAGCAUGUGGUUUAAUUCGAAGCAACGCGAGAACCUUACCUGGCCUUGACAUGCUGAGAACUUUCCAGAGAUGGAGUGGUGCCUUCGGGAACUCAGACACAGGUGCUGCAUGGCUGUCGUCAGCUCG
rnacentral:rRNA from 1 species